rnacentral:rRNA from 1 species
GGUUAAGCGACUAAGCGUACACGGUGGAUGCCCUGGCAGUCAGAGGCGAUGAAGGACGUGCUAAUCUGCGAUAAGCGUCGGUAAGGUGAUAUGAACCGUUAUAACCGGCGAUUUCCGAAUGGGGAAACCCAGUGUGAUUCGUCACACUAUCAUUAACUGAAUCCAUAGGUUAAUGAGGCGAACCGGGGGAACUGAAACAUCUAAGUACCCCGAGGAAAAGAAAUCAACCGAGAUUCCCCCAGUAGCGGCGAGCGAACGGGGAGCAGCCCAGAGCCUGAAUCAGUGUGUGUGUUAGUGGAAGCGUCUGGAAAGGCGCGCGAUACAGGGUGACAGCCCCGUACACAAAAAUGCACAUGCUGUGAGCUCGAUGAGUAGGGCGGGACACGUGGUAUCCUGUCUGAAUAUGGGGGGACCAUCCUCCAAGGCUAAAUACUCCUGACUGACCGAUAGUGAACCAGUACCGUGAGGGAAAGGCGAAAAGAACCCCGGCGAGGGGAGUGAAAAAGAACCUGAAACCGUGUACGUACAAGCAGUGGGAGCACGCUUAGGCGUGUGACUGCGUACCUUUUGUAUAAUGGGUCAGCGACUUAUAUUCUGUAGCAAGGUUAACCGAAUAGGGGAGCCGAAGGGAAACCGAGUCUUAACUGGGCGUUAAGUUGCAGGGUAUAGACCCGAAACCCGGUGAUCUAGCCAUGGGCAGGUUGAAGGUUGGGUAACACUAACUGGAGGACCGAACCGACUAAUGUUGAAAAAUUAGCGGAUGACUUGUGGCUGGGGGUGAAAGGCCAAUCAAACCGGGAGAUAGCUGGUUCUCCCCGAAAGCUAUUUAGGUAGCGCCUCGUGAAUUCAUCUCCGGGGGUAGAGCACUGUUUCGGCAAGGGGGUCAUCCCGACUUACCAACCCGAUGCAAACUGCGAAUACCGGAGAAUGUUAUCACGGGAGACACACGGCGGGUGCUAACGUCCGUCGUGAAGAGGGAAACAACCCAGACCGCCAGCUAAGGUCCCAAAGUCAUGGUUAAGUGGGAAACGAUGUGGGAAGGCCCAGACAGCCAGGAUGUUGGCUUAGAAGCAGCCAUCAUUUAAAGAAAGCGUAAUAGCUCACUGGUCGAGUCGGCCUGCGCGGAAGAUGUAACGGGGCUAAACCAUGCACCGAAGCUGCGGCAGCGACGCUUAUGCGUUGUUGGGUAGGGGAGCGUUCUGUAAGCCUGUGAAGGUGUGCUGUGAGGCAUGCUGGAGGUAUCAGAAGUGCGAAUGCUGACAUAAGUAACGAUAAAGCGGGUGAAAAGCCCGCUCGCCGGAAGACCAAGGGUUCCUGUCCAACGUUAAUCGGGGCAGGGUGAGUCGACCCCUAAGGCGAGGCCGAAAGGCGUAGUCGAUGGGAAACAGGUUAAUAUUCCUGUACUUGGUGUUACUGCGAAGGGGGGACGGAGAAGGCUAUGUUGGCCGGGCGACGGUUGUCCCGGUUUAAGCGUGUAGGCUGGUUUUCCAGGCAAAUCCGGAAAAUCAAGGCUGAGGCGUGAUGACGAGGCACUACGGUGCUGAAGCAACAAAUGCCCUGCUUCCAGGAAAAGCCUCUAAGCAUCAGGUAACAUCAAAUCGUACCCCAAACCGACACAGGUGGUCAGGUAGAGAAUACCAAGGCGCUUGAGAGAACUCGGGUGAAGGAACUAGGCAAAAUGGUGCCGUAACUUCGGGAGAAGGCACGCUGAUAUGUAGGUGAAGUCCCUCGCGGAUGGAGCUGAAAUCAGUCGAAGAUACCAGCUGGCUGCAACUGUUUAUUAAAAACACAGCACUGUGCAAACACGAAAGUGGACGUAUACGGUGUGACGCCUGCCCGGUGCCGGAAGGUUAAUUGAUGGGGUCAGCGCAAGCGAAGCUCUUGAUCGAAGCCCCGGUAAACGGCGGCCGUAACUAUAACGGUCCUAAGGUAGCGAAAUUCCUUGUCGGGUAAGUUCCGACCUGCACGAAUGGCGUAAUGAUGGCCAGGCUGUCUCCACCCGAGACUCAGUGAAAUUGAACUCGCUGUGAAGAUGCAGUGUACCCGCGGCAAGACGGAAAGACCCCGUGAACCUUUACUAUAGCUUGACACUGAACAUUGAGCCUUGAUGUGUAGGAUAGGUGGGAGGCUUUGAAGUGUGGACGCCAGUCUGCAUGGAGCCGACCUUGAAAUACCACCCUUUAAUGUUUGAUGUUCUAACGUUGACCCGUGAUCCGGGUUGCGGACAGUGUCUGGUGGGUAGUUUGACUGGGGCGGUCUCCUCCUAAAGAGUAACGGAGGAGCACGAAGGUUGGCUAAUCCUGGUCGGACAUCAGGAGGUUAGUGCAAUGGCAUAAGCCAGCUUGACUGCGAGCGUGACGGCGCGAGCAGGUGCGAAAGCAGGUCAUAGUGAUCCGGUGGUUCUGAAUGGAAGGGCCAUCGCUCAACGGAUAAAAGGUACUCCGGGGAUAACAGGCUGAUACCGCCCAAGAGUUCAUAUCGACGGCGGUGUUUGGCACCUCGAUGUCGGCUCAUCACAUCCUGGGGCUGAAGUAGGUCCCAAGGGUAUGGCUGUUCGCCAUUUAAAGUGGUACGCGAGCUGGGUUUAGAACGUCGUGAGACAGUUCGGUCCCUAUCUGCCGUGGGCGCUGGAGAAUUGAGGGGGGCUGCUCCUAGUACGAGAGGACCGGAGUGGACGCAUCACUGGUGUUCGGGUUGUCAUGCCAAUGGCACUGCCCGGUAGCUAAAUGCGGAAGAGAUAAGUGCUGAAAGCAUCUAAGCACGAAACUUGCCCCGAGAUGAGUUCUCCCUGACUCCUUGAGAGUCCUGAAGGAACGUUGAAGACGACGACGUUGAUAGGCCGGGUGUGUAAGCGCAGCGAUGCGUUGAGCUAACCGGUACUAAUGAACCGUGAGGCUUAACCUU